AUACGAAGGGGGCUAGCGUUGUUCGGAAUUACUGGGCGUAAAGCGCGCGUAGGCGGAUACUUAAGUCAGGGGUGAAAUCCCGAGGCUCAACCUCGGAACUGCCCUUGAUACUGGGUAUCUUGAGUUCGAGAGAGGUAAGUGGAAUUCCGAGUGUAGAGGUGAAAUUCGUAGAUAUUCGGAGGAACACCAGAGGCGAAGGCGGCUUACUGGCUCGAUACUGACGCUGAGGCGCGAAAGCGUGGGGAGCAAACAGGAUUAGAUACCCCAGUAGUCC
rnacentral:rRNA from 1 species